UCGGCCCCGGUACAGUGGCGCACGGGUGAGUAACACGUGGGUAAUCUGCCUUCGAGCGGGGGAUAACAUUCCGAAAGGAAUGCUAAUACCGCAUAAGACCACGCCCUCGAAAGAGGAAGCGGUCAAAGCUGGCCUCUAUACAUAAGCUAGCACUCGAAAAUGAGCCCGCGGAGCAUCAGCUAGUUGGUGAGGUAAUGGCUCACCAAGGCUUAGACGCUUAGCUGGUCUGAGAGGAUGAUCAGCCACACUGGAACUGAGACACGGUCCAGACUCCUACGGGAGGCAGCAGUGGGGAAUCUUGCGCAAUGGGCGAAAGCCUGACGCAGCGACGCCGCGUGAGUGAUGAAGGCCUUCGGGUUGUAAAGCUCUGUGGGGAGAGAAGAAUAAGUGCGGGCUAAUACUCCGCAUGAUGACGGUAUCUCCUUAGCAAGCACCGGCUAACUCUGUGCCAGCAGCCGCGGUAAGACAGAGGGUGCAAACGUUGUUCGGAAUUACUGGGCGUAAAGCGAGUGUAGGCGGUUUGGUAAGUCGGAUGUGAAAGCCCCGGGCUC
rnacentral:rRNA from 1 species